AAUCCAUUGAGGGGAAAAAAGUCAUUGUGUGCAGCCAAGUCAUUGUGCCUAGCUUUCUAAUUUUCUUAGAUUGUUACAACAGUUACUUUAUAUGUUAUUGUUGAAAUUCCUUUUGUUCUUUGCUGGUUUGCAUAAAAGUCCCCACUGUAUUGUUUCACAGGACCUGGUGUUUAUAUUAAUCAGGCACAUAGUGUUGUAAUUGCCAAAAUUAAUAAUUGUAUUUAUUACUUGUUAUAAAACAUUGGUUCAUAAUUGUAUUCAUUAAUAAAAAAUAUUUAAAUCACCAAAGAAUUAUUUUGGGUGGUAAGACACCAUGAACCAAUAUAGUUUGUAAACUUGUCUUCUUGGAUUUCAAACUGGUGAGGAAAAUGGAUAGAGGUGUGUAUACACAGAUACAUACAGAGAAAAAGACCAAUGACGCAUAAGUACGAUUCCUCAGGGCGUGGACACUAGCGGCCUGACUGGUGCUGCCAAUCUCUGGAUGUAUUCAGUGUCUGAAUUCAGGCGUGCCCUGUCCCUGUCCUUGGCUCUGUGCUGGGCUCUGGACUUGGUCUUGUAGCACUCCUAGGGCAGAGGGAGAGGCGGGAUGAGAGCAGCCAUGAGAGAGGUCCUUACUGAAAAUUCUAGGGAGUGGUACAGCUGGGAGCAAAAGGCAGGGAGGGAGGUGUCCAGGUGUCCGUCGGGAGGACUGGGGGCGACUCUAGCCACACCCGAACCAUGCGGAGAGUCCUGCCGGAAGUGGAACAGGCUGUGACCGGAAGUGAGGCGGGCUGUGACCGGAAGUGGGAAGGGCUGGUGACCGAAGCAGCCCGAGAGCCCCAGUGACGUCAGACAAGUCGGUGAGGCGCUAGGGGUUUCGUCUUUCCCAGAACCGAAGAGCAAGGGGAGGCUGCUUAAACGUCUGCCCGGGGGAGCCUGGCGCUCAGCUAAAUCCAAAGAUGCCAAAGAAAGAAGAGAUACACAGAAACUGUAUCAUUUUUAUCAUGUGUUUGGAAGGUCUUUGGUAGGAAGUAACAGAUCAGUAAGGAUUACAAAAGCGGGCUCGCUGCCAUCUCCAGCAAAUUCUUCCAGGCAGAAGAAAAGACAACAUCAG